rnacentral:lncRNA from 1 species
CGUUGACCCAAUGGGAGAAGAUUGACUAUCGAGGAUGGUGACAGCGGUAUGGUGGGCUUGCCUUCAGAAUCUCAAGUGGAUGUAUACUGAGAGAGAAUUAGGAGCUAAGUGGGCCCCGACGAGGAUGUUAAAAAUUUAAAUGGGGGAGAUUUUGAUUGUCCCACAUCAGUGAGAUAGAAAAGUUAGUGGGGUAUAAAAUAAUUUAAGUGGGCUACAACC